GCUUACGGCCACACCUCCCUGAGCACGCCGAUCUCGUCUGAUCUCGAAGCUAAGCAGGGUCGGCCCGUUAUUACUUGGAUGGGAGACCGCCUGGGAAUACCAGGUUGCUGUAAGCC
rnacentral:rRNA from 1 species